rnacentral:rRNA from 1 species
CCUACGGGGGGCAGCAGUGGGGAAUAUUGCACAAUGGGCGCAAGCCUGAUGCAGCCAUGCCGCGUGUGUGAAGAAGGCCUCGGGUUGUAAAGCACUUUCAGCGGGGAGGAAGGCGGUGAGGUUAAUAACCUCAUCGAUUGACGUUACCCGCAGAAGAAGCACCGGCUAACUCCGUGCCAGCAGCCGCGGUAAUACGGAGGGUGCAAGCGUUAAUCGGAAUUACUGGGCGUAAAGCGCACGCAGGCGGUCUGUCAAGUCGGAUGUGAAAUCCCCGGGCUCAACCUGGGAACUGCAUUCGAAACUGGCAGGCUAGAGUCUUGUAGAGGGGGGUAGAAUUCCAGGUGUAGCGGUGAAAUGCGUAGAGAUCUGGAGGAAUACCGGUGGCGAAGGCGGCCCCCUGGACAAAGACUGACGCCCAGGUGCGAAAGCGUGGGGAGCAAACAGGAUUAGAUACCCUAGUAGUC